rnacentral:rRNA from 1 species
UACGAAGGGGGCUAGCGUUGCUCGGAAUUACUGGGCGUAAAGGGCGCGUAGGCGGACAGUUUAGUCAGAGGUGAAAGCCCAGGGCUCAACCUUGGAAUUGCCUUUGAUACUGGCUGUCUUGAGUUCGGGAGAGGUGAGUGGAAUGCCGAGUGUAGAGGUGAAAUUCGUAGAUAUUCGGAAGAACACCAGUGGCGAAGGCGACUUACUGGACGAUUGUUGACGCUGAGGUGCGAAAGCGUGGGGAGCAAACAGG